rnacentral:rRNA from 1 species
AAGGGGGCCAAAUGCAAGGUGGUUUUUGUUUUAAGUCAGAUGUGAAAGCCCGGGGGCUCAACCUUGGGAAUUGCAUUUGAAACCGGCAAACUAGAGUCCUGUAGAGGGGGGGUAGAAUUUCAGGUGUAGCGGUGAAAUGCGUAGAGAUCUGAAGGAAUACCGGUGGCGAAGGCGGCCCCCUGGACAGAUACUGACACUCAGAUGCGAAAGCGUGGGGAGCAAACAGGAUUAGAUACCCUGGUAGUCCACGCCGUAAACGAUGUCUACUUGGAGGUUGUGGCCUUGAGCCGUGGCUUCCGGAGCUAACGCGUUAAGUAGACCGCCUGGGGAGUACGGUCGCAAGAUUAAAACUCAAAUGAAUUGACGGGGGCCCGCACAAGCGGUGGAGCAUGUGGUUUAAUUCGAUGCAACGCGAAGAACCUUACCUACUCUUGACAUCUACAGAAGCCAGCGGAGACGCAGGUGUGCCUUCGGGAACUGUAAGACAGGUGCUGCAUGGCUGUCGUCAGCUCGUGUUGUGAAAUGUUGGGUUAAGUCCCGCAACGAGCGCAACCCUUAUCCUUGUUUGCCAGCACUUCGGGUGGGAACUCCAGGGAGACUGCCGGUGAUAAACCGGAGGAAGGUGGGGACGACGUCAAGUCAUCAUGGCCCUUACGAGUAGGGCUACACACGUGCUACAAUGGCGCAUACAGAGGGCGGCCAACUUGCGAAAGUGAGCGAAUCCCAAAAAGUGCGUCGUAGUCCGGAUUGGAGUCUGCAACUCGACUCCAUGAAGUCGGAAUCGCUAGUAAUCGUGGAUCAGAAUGCCACGGUGAAUACGUUCCCGGGCCUUGUACACACCGCCCGUCACACCAUGGGAGUGGGCUGCAAAAGAAGUGGGUAGUUUAACCUUCGGGAGGACGCUCACCACUUUGUGGUUCAUGACUGGGGUGAAGUCGUAACAAGGUAACCG